rnacentral:lncRNA from 1 species
UACAUAUUGAAGUAUUUUCAUUGACCAAUGAAAGCAAUGGGUCAUAGUUUAAUUAGCAGGUUUAAUUUUUCUUUAAUGUCUUACAAUCAGGUACUUAGAUUCAAUAAAAUAUGGUGGUAUUUUAAAUGAAAGUUUUUUAAAAAAUGGAUACUUACUUUUUUAGGUUGUAUCAGCAGCUUUUAACUCCACUAACCACUUGCUUCUUGAAAUACUCUAUUUUUUGGCCUCUGUAAUACCACGUUAUUUUCCUUCAGUCUCAGCUGCUGCUUCUUGAUUUCCUUGUGUUCCUUUUCCAGUCUUCUUUUCUCACUCAUCAACUCCUCUGGAUGAGUUCAUCCACUUUCAUAGUUUCAGUGCUACUACCCAUCAAUUGGUAGGAUAUGUCUAUAGCUUGUCAAAUAGCAGGUGGGCAUGUCUUUCAGACAUCAGGUCAACUGAUUUUUGUUCCAGUUCCAAAGUAUUGAGUCUAAUAAUGAUUUGGGUCAGGUGGCUAGCCAUCACAGUGAGGAUAAAUUAUGUUUACAAUUAUAUUGUAGCACUCUGUGUAGUGUACCUGACCCAGAUAAGGUGGUCCUCAGUACAUAACCUAGAGUAGAUCAUAUGAAGAAUUUCUCCAGCCUUUUAUACACAGUAGGGUGGGUCUACAAGGAGUUGCUUACACUUCCAGGUUUAAUACACCUACUCCCAUAUUAUCCCCACUGUGCACUGCUCUACCCACCCCUCAUUAAUGGCCCUUGCCCCUGUAAGUUUUGGAGUUCAGAAGGUGAGUAUGCUGCCUUUCAACACCUCAGCAUCCAUCUCCCGUACCACCUACCCUAAACAUGCACCUCCUUCUGUUUUCCUCUCUUGGUGAAUGCUUACUGCUGAGGUAUUAUAUAUUCCAAAGGUAUUGAAUUUCCAGUCAGCAUAAGUCAAAUGCAAAUGGUUAUCCACCAUUUCUUCAUCCACCAAUAUUUACUGGGCACCUUCUAUGUAGCCCAUAUCAUGUUAGGCUCUGGGAUGCAAGUGAAAAAAGUUAUCACCUCUGCCCUCAUGGAGCUUACAAUCUAGUAGGGGAAACACACAAUAUGCAGGGAUUAUUUUAUGUAUUAAGAGUAUAUAAACCAGGGUACUGGGAUAAUAGUUAGGGAACACUUGCUUUUUAGAUAGAAUGAUCAAGAAAGGCCUCUGAGAAAGUAGUUAAAACUGGAUUUGAAACCUGACUCCUCAAUUACAAGCUGCAUGACCCUGGGCAAGUAAGUCGCUUAUCCUGUCAGAAUCUGUUUCCACAUUUGUAAUAUGGAGAUAAUCAUGCCAAACUCAACAAAUUCUCAUUACUACUAAUGAUCAUGAAAACUCUUCAAUGUCUCAUCACUGUUUUACAAGGCCCUUCACGAUCUAUCUAUGCAUAUUUCUCAAUAUUCCUUAGCAAACUUCCAGCAAUUCUAAACAUUUCUGGCCCUUUUUGGACAAGCUUUUCAUCAAUCCUCACAUUUCUCCACAUUACUUCUAUUAAAUCAUUGAGGUGCCUCAUUUACAUGCUCUUGUAGCACCCUAUACUUUGUCUUUUACCAUUAACAUUGUAAUCUCCCUAUUUCACACCUCUGUUGACGCUAUUGGAGCACAACUUUGGUGGGGGCAGGAUCCUGCCUUGUGUUCCAAGUGCCUGAUACAAUGCCUGGCACCUAAUAUAAUCUCAAAUACUGGAUGACUGAGACCAUUUGUAAGCCAAGAAAAGCAGCAGUAGAGAGGUGAGAGACAUGGAGAUAAGAGAGGGGAAGUCUGACAGAGGAAGGUCCUGAAGAUGACAGGAGGAGACCAGAGUCAGUUGGCCUUAAAGGCCUACCUCAUUCUCUGAAACUGGAAACAAAAAAGGAUGGAGGUGGUCAUAGGUGGGGAAGAAAUCAUGCUUUCGGACUGUCCCUUCUGUUUGAAUUAAGCAGCAAAGUCAUCUUCUGAGAAGGAAGUGGCCUGAAAAGAGGGCAAUAACAUUUGUUAUAACUGAUGAGAAUGGGCAAAGGAACUAUGCUACGUCAUGUCGGAGGAUGGAUAGGUUACUGAGGAUUUCUUCAAGGCUGCAAUAAUGAAAGAACAGUCUGGACAAGUAGCAAAGAGGAAAACAGAAAGCGUGGUUCAGUAGACGAAAAUGCUGGAGGUAAAGUAACCAAUACCUCACAGACCAACUUGGAUAAAUCAUCUAUAGAAUGUUCAAGAUAUUAAUAAUAAUGACCAGAAUCAAGGAAGGCAAGGAACACUGUGAGUCAAAGCUUCCAGCAAAUCAAAGGGAAUGAUCAGGCAGUUAUAAGACUAGAGGUAGCUGAUAGUAUAACCUCUUGGCAUGAGCUUCAGAGGCAGAGAUUUUUUAGAGACGUGUAACGAUGCAGUAGGGGGGAAGGACAGCAACCACUGUAUCUUGAGAUAUGUAGAAUGUGAACACAGCCCACGCUGGUGUGAGCUGUAGGGUAUGGCAGGGCCUCAGGUGGCAGCCAAAUUUGUAAUGGGCAAGGCAGUGAAGAGAAAAAUCAAAAGAAAAGGCUAAGAUGUAGCCAAGUAUGGCCUAGGAAGGGAUCAGUGACUGGGGCGUGACUAGAACAUAAUACAGAAUGGAGAUAAGUGAAGGCAAAAAUGGAUGACAAGGGAGGUUUGUACUUUUAUUUAAAAGACUGCAGAAAAACCAGGAAUGAGCCUCAUGGAUGCUUCAUUUCUGAAAUCCCAUGCUUAACAUUCAUCACUGUCUCCCAUACAUGAUUCGUCUUCACUCUAAACUGCCUCCUGUCUCUGUAGAUAGUGCCAUUAACAUCCAAGUUACCCAGGCUUGAAAAAUGGAUGAAAAAUGCACUCAACCCUUACUCCUAUAUUCAGUCACUGAAUCUUGAGUCUUCCUUUGAAAUGGCUUCAGCAUCCACUCCUUCCUUAUUACUCUGGCCAUCAUCUGAAACCAGUUCUCAUAAUUUUAAGUCUAGAUUCCCAUAUCAGUCUCCUAGAUAGCACAGCUAAUUAACGUCACUUCAGUUUACGCAGAGAGCUUUUGGGGUAAGUCUAGGUCAGACUCCCAAGUCCACUACUCAUUCACUGUGACCUUGGGAAACUUACCUAAACCUGUUUCAUUUGUAAAAUGGGGAAUAACACCACUUUCCUCUGAGAAGCCAUUGCAAGAAUGAGACAUUCUUGGAAAAUUCUUUGCACAAUGCCUGUUACUUUUUUUUUUUUUUUUUUUUUUUUUUUUUGGUCUCACUCUGUCACCCAGGCUGGAGUACAGGGUCAUGAUCCUGAGUCACUGCAACCUCCGCCUCUCAGGUUCAAGCAAUUCUCAUCCCUCAGCCUCCCAAGUAGCUGGGAUUACAGACAUGAGCCAUCAUGCCCUAAUUUUUUGUAUUUUUAGUAGAGAUGGGGUUUUACCAAGUUGGCCAGGCUGGUCUCAAACUCCUGGCCUCAAGUGAUUUGCCUGCCUUGGCUUCCCAAAGUGCUGGGAUUACAGGCAUGAGCCACCAUGCCCAGCUUAAGAAUUCUUGAUUUUUGGAACCUUGAUUAUAAGCUGCCUGAUGUCUGGAACCAAAACUUCUGUAACACUCUAUUCCACGUGUACUUACAAAACACUCUAAACAUUUAUUAAACAGUUUGAUGAAGGCCAAAAUAAGAGGCAUAUGCUAUUCUACAACACGGUAACACUCUUCGUCACUUAAAAUAAUUAAGCUUUGAGAACACAAAAUAAAGCUUUUUAAAAAAGCCAUUCAGAAAUAGGAAGCAGUUUGGGAAAUGAUUGUGCUACGCCAAUCAAGAAAAUGUUGUACCUCAAACAUCUGAAGGUAGCAAUCUGUUUUUUUCUUUCCCUGCAGCUACCCUUAUUGGAAACAUAAGGGAAUAUAAAGUGAAAACAGGCAAUGUUUGCCUGUUUUUAUAGCUUUUAGCCUUACCACUUUUCAGUUUGGGGAUGGAAUGCCUUUGGCUCAGUAGAUUCUACUGGCUUUGGGGAGCUCAGAAAGGCCAUAAUGGGGCCUACAGGAAGAGGAAAAAGAGAGCUGACCUCUUAAGGGCAGGCCUUAGGUACAAGAGGCUUUUUUUAAAAAGUGACAAAACUUUUGAACUAAAGAUGGAAAACGUAGUCUGACAAAGAAUAUUUGUGCAACUUUACAGUGCCAGUAAAAUCAUGGGAAAAGCUUGGAUAGCCAUACGUAGGUGUUUCUGAAACAUGUCAGAUUUUAUAUAUAUAUAUAUAUAUAUA